UUAACUAACGCUACAUAUUGAAUAAAGAAUAAAAAAGAUCACUUUUGUGUGAAAAAAAUAGAAUUUUACAAAGGCCCAAACCCAUGACUUUUUGUUUGUUUCGAAGAUUUCUCAUAGACCAUUUGCUCCCGAGGACCAAUAUGGAAACUGGGUUGUUUUGAUUUUGAAAACGUGUUAGCUCAGGGACGAAAACAAUAUUUUUCAAAACAAAGACCAGAACGUGUAUGGCCCUUUGUUUCAAAUAUUAGGAAAAUAACCAGCGGCCGGGACAGAACGGAGCAGCAAGGCCACGGAACACAUUACUGUUUCCGGCUGCGACGAUAAAGACGGCCUCAUCAACCUGGAACACCGGAACGCCCAAUAGUUCACACAGCUAGCUUAGAAGUCCAUGCAGUACUGGCGGGAAUGACGUUCCAUUAAAUUUUCAUCUUGUCUUCGUUCAUUGACGGAGGUCGCGGGGGAAGUGAAAGUGGUGGCGGCGGAUGGGGACUUCCGGAUAGUGGUCGCAGUAGCUAUUCGAACUCUUCGUCUCGCUACAAGCAGUUCUCCUUGGCCAGUAUCGAAAAUUACGCCAAAACUUUCGACCAGAUCGCGAUCACUUGCCAAAAUCUGUUUUGUCCAUUUCGAAGAAGCUGGAAUCGGAACCCAAAACCCUGCUGUCCCGCUUCUUCAACUCUUUCACGGAGGAAACCCUGCGGACACACUCAGGUCGCACGUCGCCAACGGGCGUCUACCCGACUUCGGCAGCAACGACGUGUACCCCCGCAAACGUCUACACUCAAACCCCGAUGGUUUGACACCAACUGUUGUCAAACGAACGGGGUCACUUUUUAGUUUGACACUCCUUUUACACGGAGCUCACGCACACUAUCAAACAUUUAUUUUGAUAGUGUGCGUGAGCGCCGUGUAAAAAGUGACAGUUCGUCACUUUUUAGUUUGACUUUGACCAACCAACGGGGUACAAACUAAAAAAGUGUCAAACGAAAAAGUGACCAACCACCGGGGGUUGAGUGUAUAUCGGUAAUCAACCCAACUGACGACGUCCUGAACAACCUGGCAAAGAUGUUAAAUGCUGGUGACGAUUGCGGGACUGACCACACAAGCAAGCUCGAUGACAUAAGCGCCAAUACUUCGUGCCGUAGUCGGAGCGGUCGAUGGUUUAUUAUUCGAAACAAAAAUAUGCUGGCCCUGGACACGAUCAUAAAACUAGGUUGCUGUGAUUGCUGCGACGAGGAGGAGGAAGGGUUUGAUGGAGAACCGAUACAAGUCAGCGCUGUUCCGGAAUCGAAAAAUGAACAUCGAGCGUGCUGGUCGACAUAAAAACGACGUCGGUUGAGUUGCCCACGGAGUUUAUCAAUUUUUACAUAAGUAACUGUAAUUCAUGUCAUGUGAUGAGUAAAAUAAUGCUAAUUUUUCGAUA